GGCUAUGUAGCUCAGUUGGUUAGAGCACACGCACUCAUAAUGCGGGGGUCACAAGUUCAAGUCUCGUCAUAGCCACCA
rnacentral:tRNA from 2 species